rnacentral:tRNA from 2 species
GACCCCGUAGCUCAGCUGGAUAGAGCACUUGCCUUCUAAGCAAGUGGUCGCAGGUUCGAAUCCUGCCGGGGUCGCCA